rnacentral:rRNA from 1 species
GACGAACGCUGGCGGCGUGCCUAAUACAUGCAAGUCGAGCGGAUGACGGAGGAGCUUGCUCCUCUAGAUUCAGUGGCGGACGGGUGAGUAACACGUGGGCAACCUGCCCUGUAGAUUGGGAUAACUCCGGGAAACCGGGGCUAAUACCGAAUAAUCCUUCGGACCUCAUGGUCCGAUGUUGAAAGACGGUUUCGGCUGUCACUACAGGAUGGGCCCGCGGCGCAUUAGCUAGUUGGUGAGGUAACGGCUCACCAAGGCCACGAUGCGUAGCCGACCUGCGAGGGUGAUCGGCAACACUGGGACUGAGACACGGCCCAGACUCCUACGGGAGGCAGCAGUAGGGAAUCUUCCACAAUGGACGAAAGUCUGAUGGAGCAACGCCGCGUGAGUGAAGAAGGUUCUCGGAUCGUAAAACUCUGUUGUGAGGGAAGAACAAGUACCGGAGUAACUGCCGGUGCCUUGACGGUACCUCAUUAGAAAGCCACGGCUAACUACGUGCCAGCCGCCGCCGUAACAC